rnacentral:miRNA from 1 species
AGGAGAAGCCGAGAAGGU